GUAGGUGGCAAGCGUUGUCCGGAAUUAUUGGGCGUAAAGCGCGCGCAGGUGGUUCUUUAAGUCUGAUGUGAAAGCCCCCGGGCUCAACCGGGGAGGGUCAUUGGAAACUGGGGAACUUGAGUGCAGGAGAGGAAAGUGGAAUUCCACGUGUAGCGGUGAAAUGCGUAGAUAUGUGGAGGAACACUAGUGGCGAAGGCGACUUUCUGGCCUGUAACUGACACUGAGGCGCGAAAGCGUGGGGAGCAAACAGGAUUAGAUACCCUGGUAGUCCACGCCGUAAACGAUGAGUGCUAAGUGUUGGGGGGUUUCCGCCCCUCAGUGCUGCAGCUAACGCAUUAAGCACUCCGCCUGGGGAGUACGGUCGCAAAGACUG
rnacentral:rRNA from 1 species